UCCGUACCUGCCCGUUUUAAUGUUUUAUAUUUCUAUUAUUGGUCUAAAAGCCAAUUUCCGCUUUAGAUAACCUAUGUAAUUUGAUACCGUAACCAUAUAUGGUAUUGUAAGCUUCGAUUGACCGCGUUAUUGGUUGGAGCAAAACUUCGUUGUUUCAUUGGGGCCGGAAAUGGAAAAAUUCAGCGUGUUUUACUUGCUAACCCGAAGAGAACGGUCGUGCGGUUCAUCCUGAUUUAAGUGCUAAUUUAGUUCCUGUUCAUUUGUUUUCAACAAUUUGGCGAAAGCAUCUUUAAAAACAAGUGAACCAUCAUUGUACCUGCCAUUUCUUUUUGGGCAUGGUAACCAUUUAAUCCGAAAGGAGUUCUUCUAAAGGAACGUAAGCAUAAUUGUAAGUUCUCUGUGUGUUCGAAUCCACACUACCGUUAUUUCUAUUUUAGGGGACCAUUCUGACAACGAUCGUAGGAUAACUUCCAUUCACUUUCGUACGUUCACGAAGCUCUUUUAUUUUCCGUUGACUCUCUCCAUGUAGAGAGUUCACGUAUUGGGGUCAAGAACUACGAUCCGACUGUUUACCUGUGAAACGAAACUAUAGACCACAUUGUGUUGCGGAUAAGGGGGCAUAGGAAAGUAAAUCGACUAAGCGUACUGGAGUGCAGUGUGUACGAUCUAGCAUCAAACCAUUGAAAUAACUUAAUGGCCGAGUCGUACAUAUCUUGAAGCCGCUACCUUACUUCCGACACUUUGUGUAACACUUAGAGCAGCAUUUGCCAUUCAACGUGCAAUCAUAUACCAGGACCUGUGGAAAAGAAGACCUAAAUAUUGAUCGUACGGUGAUGUAGCAUUGUUAAACCUUUUUGUAAAUUUGUGUGUUUGCAUUUGACCCACCUCGGUGGUGAUCAAUUGCUAAUUGGCCUGCAUAGAGCCAAGAUUAUUACUGUUAAUUGGUAAGCUUGACAUUUUUGGGGUACAAUAUUUUAGCUAGUCAAAAGAUUACUCUCGUUAUGGAGUGAUAACAAUUUAUGUAAGGUACGAACGAGCUCGUAAGAACCGAAUAAUUUCAUUGCCCAC